rnacentral:rRNA from 1 species
CCUACGGGCGGCAGCAGUAGGGAAUAUUGCUCAAUGGGGGAAACCCUGAAGCAGCAACGCCGCGUGGAGGAUGAAGGUUUUCGGAUUGUAAACUCCUUUUGUUAGAGAAGAUAAUGACGGUAUCUAACGAAUAAGCACCGGCUAACUCCGUGCCAGCAGCCGCGGUAAUACGGAGGGUGCAAGCGUUAUUCGGAAUCACUGGGCGUAAAGAGCGCGUAGGCGGGAUAGCAAGUCAGAUGUGAAAUCCUAGGGCUUAACCAUAGAACUGCAUUUGAGACUGUUAUUCUAGAGUAUGGGAGAGGUAGGUGGAAUUCUUGGUGUAGGGGUGAAAUCCGUAGAGAUCAAGAGGAAUACUCAUUGCGAAGGCGACCUGCUAGAACAUAACUGACGCUGAUGCGCGAAAGCGUGGGGAGCAAACAGGAUUAGAUACCCCUGUAGUC